UAUAGGGCCGCAACUCUCCUUGUAUAGGAGCAAUGGCACCCUAGCUCCGCCAUGACAUCUUCAGCCACCUCAGUUGCUCCAUUCCAGGGGCUCAAGUCCACCGCUGGCCUCCCCGUGAGCCGCCGCUCCAGCAGCUCAGGCUUCGGCGAUGUCAGCAACGGCGGAAGGAUCAGGUGCAUGCAGAGGCAAAAUUUACAUCAAAAUUCAAGAUGGCUCCCGAAUUUUGAAGGAUUCGCAUAACUCUUGUUUUAAGGGAUCAACGGAAACUUUAUCUCAUGAUCUUACGCAUCUUGAUGCACAAAGGAGUUAUGGAGAAUUUAAAGAACAACGAGAUCAAAGAAGGUGGCAAGACGGGGCAUGAAGCCCCUAUGUGAUCAACCUGAGCACCCCUACGCAGAUCAGCCUGGGUAUUUCUCCCCCCUCCCAAGGUCCCCCGCGAUGCUCGCUCUAAUGAUCAAAAUGGUGGGAUGUGUUGUAUUGCGAUCCUUCGCAAACCUCCUUCACAUAGUUCUUUAGAGGGAACGGGGCUGGAUCGGAAGCAAAAUUGGGCCAGGCUGCCACCCCAAUGGGUCUGGCCCUCCAGGUGUUCGUCUUCCACGUGUAGGAUCCUCUCAACGAUCCUGAUCUAUAUAUAAGGAGGCGCUGUCGCCUGUACAAGCGCGGCCGCCAUGGCCGACCCACCGGAUCCGCCACCGCUUCCUUGCCGCUCGCGAGCACCCCAACGCUGCCACCACGGAUGCUGACAACGCCGCCGCCACGGACACCGACGCAAGCUGUCGACCUUCUCUUCCUCCUCUAGUUCAUCGACAUCCCUCGAGAUCCAGGGUGAGGUUCACUGCAUGACGAGCAACGUCGGCAACCCAUCCUCGAUGCUGAGCAGGUUCUAUUUCGUGCCUCUCCCCCUCAUUGAUUGCCUGUCAUUGUCAUAUCACACUAAGAUCAUUUAGCUUUGGAGCCGAUUGGGUGAUAUCUUCUACAAGUAUCCCAACAACUUUAAAGUGAGUGUUUAGCGCAUUAAGAUCAUAUUUUGCUAGAUUGAUUUUCAAUUUUGUCUUAUCUUGCUUGUUUAGUGUAUUUGAGUUUUUUGGUUUGAUUUUAGUUAAUUAUUGCUAGAUAUGUGGGUAAUUGUAGGUUGAUCCGACUUCCUGUGGUACUAGUGUGGGAGAAGGACUACCUAAAAUGGCUGGCAGACAAUCGUCCAUAUUUAUUGCGUAAUCAUGGUGGAUUUAGUAUCGGUCCAGUAAGUGCAGUUGAUGCUCAAAUUUCAACAACGGCACCACGAUAGGUUCAGCAACAUCUUGUUGUGUAGGAAAGACAUGUUGAACUAGCUACCGGUACACUGAGCAUGAACCUUGAAAAGCUGAAGAUGCAAAUGUGUGAUAUGAAGAUGGGGAUGUGUCAAAUGAAGAUCCAAAAUGGAGAGAUAAAAGGAAACAUUGCUGACUUGAAGCUGGAGGUGGCUGAUGAGAACAAAGGAAUUGGUAAGAAAAAGAAUGGAGUCUGGAAUUGGUAGCAUUGGAGUUAUUACAGCUGUAAUAGUAGGUGUGUUGGCUGCCAUAUUUGCUGCUGGAUUCUUAGUUAGGGGGUUAGACUUGUAGCUGGUUUGUGCCAAUAUUUUAGGCUUGUUGUUUCCUUUCUAAUUGUGAGAUGUAGAACUUGGACAAUUUGUGUGUGUGAUAUGUGAGAUUUGUUUUGUAAGGCUUUGUGUUUAAUUUAUGUUUGAGAAAUUUGAACCA